rnacentral:lncRNA from 1 species
CAUGGCACCAAAUUUUAGCUCCAAUAUUCAUGCUCAUAUGAACGACAUCUACAACAUUUGAGAUGGCAAAUUUUCUAACAAAAUUUACAUUCAAAGAAACAAGAAUAAAGCUUGUAACAAUUACAACUUUUAAAUCACAAACUAUGAACUACAAAACACAAAAGGAUUCACCAACUACUAGACCUAGGCUCUGAUACCACUUGAAGGAAAAUUUUGUGAAAACAUGUUCAUUUAAGCAACAUCAAUAAGCAUGCAAUUAACAAUUAAAGGCGGAAUCAUGCAAGCAUGCACUUAAAAACAAAACAUUAACCAAGAAAUUCAAAGCCUAGUAGAUUGGUGAACCAUAACUCAACUCAAAACAAAGUGAGUUGAAAUUGUACCUUUGUAGAUUCCUCUUUGCAUAAGCAAAGGCUAAUCACCCAAAGAGAGGGCCUUCAUUCCUUGCAUCUUAAAUCUAUGGAUUUGGAUGGAAGAAUAGGUUUCUCCAAGUUCCCAAAAAUAGGGAACCUCUAAGUCUCUUCACCAAGGAGAGAUUGGAGAAGAUAUGAGUGACCUUGGAGUAGUAGGAUUGCUAGAUGUACCCCCCCAAGGUAGCCGGCCUCUUUAGAGAGAAAUGGAGAGACAUGUUCUCUCCAAUUUUCCCCAAAACAAACCCUUAUGAAUUUUAGGCUAUAAAGUCAUAUUUAUACCUUUAUUCAUUUGAGUGGCAAACUUGUAAAUAAGUCCAAGUUCACUACCCUUAGCAUCAUGGCCGGCCCUAGGGUAUUUUGGGCUAAUUAGGCCUUUGUGAAUCAUUAUUCAUUAAGUUGUCAUACAACUUAAGUCAAUGGACUUGACGUUCGAAGUCCAUUGGGCCUUAAGGUCCAAAACUAUCCCCUAGGUCUUUAACGAACUUAUUCGUUUGAUUAAUUAACAUAUUAAUUAAUCCUUGCCAUAAAUAAAUGAUUAAACCAUUUAAUCAUUCUUACUCAUCUUCGUUUAAUCUCCAAUCUCCACCUCUUAUGGUGUGCGAUCCAUUAGGUUCCUUUUAGCGAGGCAGUGGGCGAUUAAAACCAUUUUACAUCGAUUGUGAAUUGAAACUUACUUUCAAUUCUCCCUUUAGUGAUUACACACGUUUAGGGCUUCCACAAACCAUGAGUGACACCUAGCAGCAUAUCAUGGUUACCCAAACUAAUCAUAAGAGGUUAGAGAACCUAUUCAGUUUGGGAUUACAAAUGCAAUACGGUAUUUCUCUAAUUUAAUACUCUUGACCACAUUGUUUGGUUUGAUAGUUUAUAAGUUCAUGUCUACUAUCCAAUGUGAUUCGUGUGCUUCUAUGAUUUCCUUGAAUGUGAUUUAGAACGACUUUUCUAAAUCUCAUUCAUACUCUGGCCAGAGAUUCUAAAUCAUAUCAUAGAGUAUUCUCCAUCAAACAGUUUGAAGGUUAGAGAUCCCUUGUUGCGCAUUCACUUGCCUCCAUGGCUAAGUGGCUUAACCCCAACGAUGCCGUGGACACCCUCCUAAUGGAGUGACUUUGACAUAAUCAAAGAUCAAGGACUUAACCACAAGACAACUAUAAUGCCUCAGGUCAAAGGACUACUUUGCAUUAUCCCAACCAUGAGUUCUCAUGUGACAUGAGUAUGAGAACUC